rnacentral:rRNA from 1 species
AGGACGAACGCUGGCGGCGUGCUUAACACAUGCAAGUCGAACGGUAAGGCCCUUCGGGGUACACGAGUGGCGAACGGGUGAGUAACACGUGGGUGAUCUGCCCUGCACUUUGGGAUAAGCCUGGGAAACUGGGUCUAAUACCGAAUAUGACCAUGGGAUGCAUGUUUCGUGGUGGAAAGCUUUUGCGGUGUGGGAUGGGCCCGCGGCCUAUCAGCUUGUUGGUGGGGUUACGGCCUACCAAGGCGACGACGGGUAGCCGGCCUGAGAGGGUGUCCGGCCACACUGGGACUGAGAUACGGCCCAGACUCCUACGGGAGGCAGCAGUGGGGAAUAUUGCACAAUGGGCGAAAGCCUGAUGCAGCGACGCCGCGUGAGGGACGAAGGCCUUCGGGUUGUAAACCUCUUUCAGCACAGACGAAGCGCAAGUGACGGUAUGUGCAGAAGAAGGACCGGACCAACUACGCGCCAGCAGCCGCGGUAA